AAACAACAAACAAAAGCCUGAAAAAGAAAAGUCUUGAUCCUUCAUCUCCAACAGGCUUCAUCGUCGAUCUCCGAUGAGACUCUGAGCAAGAGGAGUUCCUUCAUGGCUCUCCUUUUUUCACCUUCACAACUAAAACCAAAUUCAACCCAAGUUUGGGUUGCAAUCACUUAGACAUCAAAAACUUUCACUAGUGUCAUGAUUCAAGAUCAUUGAAGACUUCUUCAACUUGAGUGAUGUAGAUUUCAGCCGGAUUCAAAGAAUUUCAGGCGGUGUACUCAAAUAUUCAUUGAGGAAGGCAAUCUUGAUGUUGUGAACCUUAUUUACUUCCUACAGUUGUAAGAAACGGGUCCUUAUGUUGAGUACCUAAAGCUCAAACUUCAUGUAACUUGUAUGUCUUAUUUUUGACUUUCCUUAGUCGCAAAUAAGGAACAUUUUCUUUCUCCAUUUAUACAAUUUCUUUGGCUUUUUGUGGAAUCUCCUGAAUGCUAUGAAAUUGUUGUAUAUUAGUACCUGCAAAUGAACAGCAUAUUUAGAGGAAAAAAUCUGGAAGUAUGUUUCCUUCUCUAAGUGUGUGAACCACCUCCACCUCAUAAUGUUGCAUUUGUUGUUUAAUAUAUCUCACAUCCGAUGCAAUCAACCAUGGAACCUCUCAAAUUUCAUUUAUAACUUUUUGAGCUAUUAGAGAGUCAGUUUCUAUGAUUAGUGGAGCUCAACUAUUCUGAAUGCAUUAGCCAAGCCCUACCCUGAUGGCCUUUACUUCAGUCUCAAUAAUAGAACAACCCUCAAGUACUCUAGAUUCAACAUAUAUAAAAUCUCCUUCUUUAUUUCUAACACACAAGGCCAAUUAAUCAAAUUCUAACUAACCUUGAUAUAACCCAUCAGUAUUGCAUUUGAAAUUACCCAUUGGAGGAUGUAUCCAUCUCACAAUCUUGUAACUUAUCAAAGGUGAGUAUCUCUAAGAAUUUAAUAAUGAAUGUCUAUGUUUUGGGAUUUCACUGGGUUGUUGUUGUUGUUGUAUGUUUUAGGAGUUUCCUUCAACCAUGGGUAUCUAAACUUAGUAAACAAAUAGAUAUUCCUAUGAAUUUCCAUAAUCAUUGAAUGCUUAGUCAUAUUUUCCCCAUGUUUAAUCACAUUCCUCCUUUUUCAAAUUUGCCAAAUUAUAAAAGCAAAAAUUACUUUAAAGAUUGGCUUUAACUUAGCAGCACUCUCAACCUUCCACUAAUUUUCUAGGACUUGUCUAAGCUGCAACACUGGAAAUUGUAACACAGCCGCUGUUAUAAAAAGAUUCCAAACAUACUUAGCAUCAGAGUAGUUUACAAAUAGUUGUGAGAAGGUUUCUUACUCAUUACCACUACAACACCAACAUUCUACAAACAUUGCUAUCCUCCUUUUUAUUAAAACCCCUCCUAUAAGACUUCGACCAAAUCACAACCUCCACAUGAGAAAGGAUACCUUAAAAGUAGUCCUUUCUCCCAAAUUAUAGAGAUAUUCUCUAUAGGGAGUAGUCUGAACCUGCAUAACCCUCGAGUUGUGCCUACUUUGAAUUUGUCAUCACCACUAGGCAUCCACCAAGCCUUAUCUCUACCAUCAGCAAUAGAGAUAUCACCUAGAGCAGAAAAAAUAUGAGAGCAAAUCUCAUCACUGAAAAUUACAGAUAAUACCUCAGUAAUCCAACCCUCUUCAUUGAACAAUUUAUUUAUAGAUUUCACUAGGUUUUGAUCAUGAUAAAUAGGAACAAGAUAGUGUAAAGCCCCCAUCUGUGUCCAACUAUCAAACUAGACACUAGCAUGACCCUUUUUAGGCUCCCACCAUAUUUCUCGAUAAAAAAACUCUAGUCAAUACCAUUGCUUUCAACAAUUGAGAACCGCCCUUUCAUUCUGCUACUUGUGGUCUAUGCCUCUUGCAAUACUUAUUCCAUAUAAAAUUAGACCAAAGAGUAUUAGUAGUUUUGAAAUUCCACCAUAAUUUUAUAAACAAAGCUUUUGAAACAUCAAAUAAAGAUCUAAACCACAAACCACCUUCUUUCUUAGGAAGACAGAUGUCCUCCCAAGCAAACCAGUGAGUAGAUCUACCUUCCUCUUUGAAAUUUUAUAGGAAUUUCACAAAAAAUCUAUGAAUGUCAUAAAUCACACACUUUGAAGGGUUAAUAGAGGAUAAAAAAUAAACAGGAUACUCUGUAAAAUAAGAUUAAUCAAUAUUGCUUUGCCCCUAAAAGAUUAAAGCUUUCCUUUCUAAAGCUGCAACUUGUUCUGAAUUUUCUUGAUCAGUUCUGAGAAAUGAAUUUUUUUCAUCUUAGAAUAGCCAAUAGGAAAACCCAAAUAAAUCAAAGGAAAAUUUCCUUUUGAAAAGCUUGUAACUUCUUCAACUAAUUGUACAGAGGUUUGAUCUACUUUGCUAAAUAGAUAAAAGAAACUCUUUUCCUUGUGAUGAGUUGUCUUGAUUGUUGUUCGUAGAUACUUAGAAUUUUCAUAAUAAGCUGUAAAGAUUUUUUAUUUGAUGCUGAAAAAAUGAUUGUAUCAUCUACAUAGGCCAGAUGAUUUAGCUGUUCACUCGAUUUAGGAAAUCCAUAUCCCCUAAAUUCAUGGUUGAAGAAUAAUUGAUUCAAGGCUUUAGAAAGAACUUCAAGACAUAAUAAACAAAGCUAGUGAUAGAGGAUCCCCUUGACUCACCCCUUUUAUAGAAUGAAAAAAAAUCAUGAGCUUGACCAUUGAUAAGAAUAGAAUAUCAAUUGUUAGCAAUAAUUCUCUAUAUCAUAUCAACCAUUGUAGAACCAAAAUCCAUUUUCUCCAGAACUUUCAUUAAGAACCUCCAGUCUACUCUAUUAUAAGCUUUAGCCAUGUCAAGCUUGAUAACCACAUUAUCAGGAUUGCCUCUUUUUCUUAUGUCUGAAAUAAUCUCUUGAUCCAGCAAUACAUUCUUUGUAAUGUUCCUACCUUUAACAAAAUCAGUCUGAUUUUUAGAAAUCAAUCUAGGUAGAAAACCUUUCAAUCUAUCAUGAAUCAAUCUAGAAAUAACCUUGUUAACUCAAUUACUCAAACUAAUUGGCCUAAGGCCUGAAAAGGAUUGAAUAAUAUCAUUUUAGGCAAUAGAAUCAGAUUAGUGUGAGUUAUGGACUUAGGUAAAGUAACACCCUAAAAAAUAGUGGAUCACUUUAAUAAUAUCAGGACCUACAAUCUCCUAAUAACUUUGAUAGAAACAACCAGAGAAACCAUCAGAACCAGAAGAUCUAUCUGCAUUUAAUUUGAAAAUCACAUUUCUUAUCCCUCCCUCCUCAGGAAUUGCAGUCAGCUUUUCAUUAUCUUCUUGGGAUACCUGAGGCUGAAUAUACUGCAAUAAAUACAGUUUUUCAUUAGUAGCUCCACUCGUAAAUUAGUUUUUGAAAAAAUUAAACGCCUCUUCUGUAAUUUCAGCCUUUGAUUCUGCCCAGGUCCCAUCAGCCUUCACAAUUCUCUUCAAAGCAAGCAUUUUUGUUCUUUCUCUGACUAAGAAGUGAAAAAACUUAGUGUUCCUGUCAUCUUCCUAAAAUCACUAAACACUGACUUUUUGUCUCCAAAACUCUUUUUCAUAGCGCAAAUAUAAUUUAAGCUCUGCAUGAGCCUGUUAAAGAAUAGCUCUGUUAGCAGGAGAAGGAUUCUUGAAAUAAAUCUUCCUUAAUCUUUACAAUCUCUUUUCUGAUAUCCAGCUACUUGAAAAUAUCUCCAAACUUACCUUUUCUCCACCUGGUCAAAGCCUUCUUAGUCCUCUUCUGCUUCUAUUUCAGUUGAAUAAAGAUAUCCCCAUAAUUGUCUGCUACCCAAUUUUGUUAAACGUCUUUGAAAUCUUCCCUUUCAUUCCAAAAUUUAUGAAACUUGAAAGGUUUAACCAUAGACACCUAGUUAAACUCACAAGAAAUCAGUAGAGAGGCAUGACCUGAAUCAGUUCUAGCCAAGUAUUGUAAAUUAACAUUACCAAACAAAUCUAGCAAUAAUUGAUUAACAACCCCAUAUUGUCUUUUGAAGAUACAAUCCCCAUCAAUCCAACCAUUCCACCAUGUGAAAGGAUUUUAUGAAAAAUUAACAUCAUAUAAUUCACAAGAAUUGAUACAAUAAGAAAAAUCUUCAAACUCUUGUGGAUAUAUUGGCAAUCCUCCAAUUUUUUUCUCAUCUCCUAAGAUCACAUUGAAAUCUCCUCUUACCAUCCAAGGUAAUGAGAAAUUAAUACUCAAGGAAUAUAAAUAUUCCCAGAAAUUCAAUCUCUCAUUAGCUGAACAUUUAGCAUACACAAUAGUAACUACAAUUUGAGAUCUUUCCUCUAAAGUGAGUUGUAAAGUCAAUUAUUGAUCACUAUCAGAUAAAAUCCCUACUUGAAUAUGUUGUCUCACAAAUAUCCAAAUCUAACCAUUAACAUUAUAGUUCACAUGUGGUAUCCCUAAUCUUCUUUUGUACCUUUGAAUCAGCCUAGGGUCUUAAAAUAUUUUCAUUAAAGCAAUUAGUAAAAACUUAUGAUGUCUAUGAAGUAUUUGUACUUAAUGAAAUUGUUGUGUGUUAACAGACCUAAUAUUUUAGAAUAAAGUUUUGUGACUCAUUUAAUACUUGAUUUGGCCACCCUAUUUGGUUGUAUCCUUAUAGGCAAUGAAUUGCUACCGUUUUCUUUACUUUUGCCUUUCUUCACUUUUGAUAACAUCUGAGGAGAUAAACUAGCCUCUUUAAUCAUAAUCUGCAUGUGUUAUCAUUUUUUCCUUCAUCUUUCUCUUCUGCAAUGGUGCUUUCUGAUACUGAUGUUUGUGUUGUAUUGUCUUUAUCUCCAAUAAACUGGUGGGGAUAUUGAUGGGAGACCAAGGCAUGCAAAGUUUUCAUUGGCUCAGACUUUUCAGCACCAACAGGAGUUAUUGCCUUUUCACCAUCUACUUGCUCAUACUCUAGGGCAUUGAGAUAUUUAAGAAUGGGGAAAGAACUAUCAAAUGAUAAAGGCAAUGCCAGACCAAGCACUAGAAGAAGGCUGACCGGCAGCCAUAUUGGCCAUUCUGGUGGAAAUCAGUUGGAAGAAUUAGGGCUGGUGUGGUGGUGAUGGCUCAUGUGAGUGUUUUUCAUUUGAACUUUGAUACUUAGAGCCCGUUUGGAUUGGCUUAUAAGCUGUUUUCAGCUUUUUUGAGUGUUUGACUGGCUAACUUAAAGUCAUUUUGUGCGUAUAAUAAGCCCCAAUAAAUAAUUGAGUUUGUUUGGAUGAACUUAUUUUAAGUAGCUUAUAAGUCAAAAAAUAAGUUGGGCUACACCUACUUUUUUUUAACUUAGAAGUAGUUUUUAACUUAUAAGUUACUUAAAAUAAGUCCAUCCAAACAGGCUCUUAAUAGGCUAGUCUUUUAGAUUUUAAAAUAGGUCAAUCCACAUUUACGUUUUCUUUAGAACACUUCUGUUAAAAAACAAAUAUGUUUAUGACA